AGAAUCAACGCUGGCGGCGUGCCUAACACAUGCAAGUCGCACGAGAAAGGGGAGCAAUCCCUGAGUACAGUGGCGCACGGGUGAGUAACACGUGAAUAAUCUACCUCCGAGUGGGGAAUAACUGAGAGAAAUCUUAGCUAAUACCGCAUAACACUUACGAGUCAAAGCAGCAAUGCGCUUGGAGAGGAGUUCGCGGCAGAUUAGUUAGUUGGCGGGGUAAUGGCCCACCAAGACGAUGAUCUGUAUCCGGCCUGAGAGGGCGCACGGACACACUGGAACUGAAACACGGUCCAGACUCCUACGGGAGGCAGCAGUGGGGAAUUUGCGCAAUGGGGGAAACCCUGACGCAGCAACGCCGCGUGGAGGAUGAAGCCCCUUGGGGUGUAAACUCCUUUCGAUCGGGAAGAUAAUGACGGUACCGAUAUAAGAAGCCCGGCUAACUUCGUGCCAGCAGCCGC
rnacentral:rRNA from 1 species